AGUGAGCGCUGGUCGUGCUACUGCAUUCCAGUUUGGGUGACAGAGUGAGACCCUGUUUCAAAAAACAAACAAACAAAAAACUAGUAAAAUACAUUACAUUAAAAUUAAGAACUUCUUUUUGUCAAGGCACCAUUACAAAAAGACAAACCACAAUAUAAGAAAAGAUACUAGCCACACAUAUAUUUGACCAAGAACUCAUAUCCAGAAUAUAUAAAUGAUUCCUAAAUAUCAUUAAGAAAAAGACUGACAACCCAACAGAAAUAUGGUCAAGUUACUUAAACAAGCAUUACAGAAUAGAUCUUUAAAUGUCUUCUGAAGGCCAUUUUUCUCAAACAAAAACAAAAAGAUCUCCAAAUGUUAAGUAGCAUAAAAUGGUGCUCAACUUCAAUGGUCAUCAGGUAAAAGGUUAAUGUCAAAAUGAGAUACCGCUACAUUCCCAUCAGAAUGCCCAAAUUAAAAAUUUUGACAGUACCACAUGUUGACGACAGGGUGGAGAAAGUCAAACUGUCACACACUGUUGCAGGGCAGUGAGGAGGGAUGGGGGCACAGGGAUUGGGUAAAGUUUCCAUAAACUUUGGAACACUGUCAUUCUUUACAAAAUUUGAACAGACAUAAAUGACUAAGCAACUUUAAUCCUAAAUAUAUUUUAUCCAU